rnacentral:rRNA from 1 species
UACGUAGGUGACAAGCGUUGUCCGGAUUUACUGGGCGUAAAGAGCGCGCAGGCGGUCGUUCAAGUCGAGUGUGAAAGCCCCCGGCUCAACUGGGGAGGGUCAUUCGAUACUGAUCGACUCGAAGGCAGGAGAGGGUAGUGGAAUUCCCGGUGUAGUGGUGAAAUGCGUAGAUAUCGGAGGAACACCGAUGGCGAAGGCAGCCCCCUGGGUCGACACUGACGCUCAGGCACGAAAGCGUGGGGAGCAAACAGG